UGGGGAAUAUUGCGCAAUGGGGGGAACCCUGACGCAGCCAUGCCGCGUGAAUGAAGAAGGCCUUCGGGUUGUAAAGUUCUUUCGGUAUUGAGGAAGGUUGAUGUGUUAAUAGCACAUCAAAUUGACGUUAAAUACAGAAGAAGCACCGGCUAACUCCGUGCCAGCAGCCGCGGUAAUACGGAGGGUGCGAGCGUUAAUCGGAAUAACUGGGCGUAAAGGGCACGCAGGCGGUUAUUUAAGUGAGGUGUGAAAGCCCCGGGCUUAACCUGGGAAUUGCAUUUCAGACUGGGUAACUAGAGUACUUUAGGGAGGGGUAGAAUUCCACGUGUAGCGGUGAAAUGCGUAGAGAUGUGGAGGAAUACCGAAGGCGAAGGCAGCCCCUUGGGAAUGUACUGACGCUCAUGUGCGAAAGCGUGGGGAGCAAACAGGAUUAGAUACCCUGGUAGUCCACGCUGUAAACGCUGUCGAUUUGGGGUUGGGGUUUAACUCUGGCGCCCGUAGCUAACGUGAUAAAUCGACCGCCUGGGGAGUACGGCCGCAAGGUUA
rnacentral:rRNA from 1 species